AUCCCUGUAGCGCAAUGAACAGCGCGUUGGACUUGUAAUUCAAAGGUAGUGGGUUCGAAUCAUCCCAUCUGGGAUG